rnacentral:misc_RNA from 1 species
GUGAUGGUGGUGGUAUUUUGAUACCAAUUGGGGUCAUGGUUGCUAGAUACUUUAGGCAAUAUGAUCCAAUAUGGUUUUAUACUCACACAACUAUUCAAUCAAUUGCCUCUCUCCUUGGAUUUUCUGGUAUUGUAUGUGGUUUUGUUCUUGAAGAUCGUCUUAGCGCUCAUGUUGAUAAACACAAAGCCAUUGGCAUCUUCAUUCUUGUUCUUGCUUGCUUGCAGGUCAUUGCAUUUUUGGCUCGACCAGGAAAGGAAUCAAAAGUAAGAAAAUAUUGGAAUUGGUACCAUCAGAUAUUGGGAAGGGUUUUGAUAAUUUUGGCAGCAGCAAAUAUUUUCUAUGGAAUCCAUUUAGGAGGUGCAGGGACUGCUUGGAAUGUUGGUUUUGCUGUUACUCUUGUUGCAUUAUUCAGCAUUUCUAUCGUUCUAGAAAUAAGGUUGUGGAUGACUAAGUAAAUUACUCCUUCAUCCUUUUCAUUUCUAUUCUU